GGUGUAUGUAAUUUAAAAAAAAUAUCAAGCUGUGACCCUGACAUUAGGAACCUCAUACACC
rnacentral:tRNA from 1 species